GUCCCUCCCAGCCCUGCGUCUGGUGUGUUUUCUCAACGCCUCAGUGGAACAAGAAAGGACUGAGCCUGCCAGAACCAAGGCUAUUACAGUUGGUUCAGGAGAGUUCCCUGUCCUAGUCAGAACCUCCAUGCUGUUUUCCAUCAUGGCUUCACCAGUUACAGUCCCACCAAGACCAUAGGAAGAUUCCAUUUUCUGUACGUUCUCUACAGCAUUUAUUCUUUGCAGCCCCUACCUAGAUCCUUGUGAAUAUUAAAUGUCCAGUAAGCACCCCACUCCAGUACUCUUGCCUGGAAAAUCCCAUGGAUGGAGGAGCCCAGUAGGCUGCAGUCCAUGGGGUCGCUAAGAGUCAGACACGACUGAGCGAAUUCACUUUCACGCGUUGGAGAAGGAAAUUGCAACCCACUCCAGUGUUCUUGCCUGGAGAAUCCCAGGGACGGGGGAGCCUGGUGGGCUGCCGUCUAUGGGGUCGCACAGAGUCGGACACGACUGAAGUGACUUAGCAGCAGCAGCAGCAGCAGCAGCACAGCUCUUCAUGGUGUUAUUACAGAAAAUGGCCACAAGAGGGCAGCACUGUUUCAUGUCCAACUCUGGUUCUUCAGGCAAACAGCCUUUGGGAAAGUUGGCUUCCUGAGCUGAGAAUUAGAGUGGAACUCGCCUGAGCAAACACUCAAUGCCUUGUGUCUCACUACUUCUUCCCCUUAAG
ensembl:lncRNA